GAUGAACGCUGGCGGCGUGCUUAACACAUGCAAGUCGAACGGAAAGGCCCAAGCUUGCUUGGGUACUCGAGUGGCGAACGGGUGAGUAACACGUGGGUGAUCUGCCCUGCACUUCGGGAUAAGCCUGGGAAACUGGGUCUAAUACCGGAUAGGACCACAUUUUGGAUGGUGUGGUGGAAAGUUUUUCGGUGUGGGAUGAGCUCGCGGCCUAUCAGCUUGUUGGUGGGUUAAUGGCCUACCAAGGCGUCGACGGGUAGCCGGCCUGAGAGGGUGUACGGCCACAUUGGGACUGAGAUACGGCCCAGACUCCUACGGGAGGCAGCGGCGGGGAAUAUUGCACAAUGGGCGCAAGCCUGAUGCAGCGACGCCGCGUGGGGGAUGACGGCCUUCGGGUUGUAAACUCCUUUCGCUAGGGACGAAGCGUUAUGUGACGGUACCUGGAGAAGAAGCACCGGCUAACUACGUG
rnacentral:rRNA from 1 species